GUUAAGCGACUAAGCGUACACGGUGGAUGCCCUGGCAGUCAGAGGCGAUGAAGGACGUGCUAAUCUGCGAUAAGCGUCGGUAAGGUGAUAUGAACCGUUAUAACCGGCGAUUUCCGAAUGGGGAAACCCAGUGUGUUUCGACACACUAUCAUUAACUGAAUCCAUAGGUUAAUGAGGCGAACCGGGGGAACUGAAACAUCUAAGUACCCCGAGGAAAAGAAAUCAACCGAGAUUCCCCCAGUAGCGGCGAGCGAACGGGGAGCAGCCCAGAGCCUGAAUCAGUGUGUGUGUUAGUGGAAGCGUCUGGAAAGGCGCGCGAUACAGGGUGACAGCCCCGUACACAAAAAUGCACAUGCUGUGAGCUCGAUGAGUAGGGCGGGACACGUGGUAUCCUGUCUGAAUAUGGGGGGACCAUCCUCCAAGGCUAAAUACUCCUGACUGACCGAUAGUGAACCAGUACCGUGAGGGAAAGGCGAAAAGAACCCCGGCGAGGGGAGUGAAAAAGAACCUGAAACCGUGU
rnacentral:rRNA from 1 species